CUGCGCGCGCCCCGCCGGGUGGGCAGGACUUCCGCCUCUCUGAGCUGCCCCUAGCGCUUGGGCACUUUCCUGAGGACCCCGGGUGAUCGCAGGAAGGCCCGCAUCGCAACCUAGCCUCGGGCCUCUGCCUGGGGUGCCGCGCAGCGCUGUCCGCCUCGGAGCUGGAGCCCGCCCCCGGGCCGCGUCUCUGGGGCCGGGAGCGUCCAGCGGCCGUCUCUGAGGUGUCCGGCGAGCCAGGGCGUCUUCCCGCCUGUCCGCUAGAGCUGACUGUGGAACAAUGAAUACGGAACCCGGCCUCCUGUAAGGCUAGGCAUGAAGGGUACUUGUAGAAAAGUUAAACAAUGCCACGCCUUUCAUUAAUUUGCUGGGGUGAUAUAUUUUUAAUGAUCUAUUGCUUACAGUAACACUCAAUGGGUUUUGCUGUUGUUGAGUGAUAAAUGUUUUACAUUUAACUUCAAAAAUGGCAAAUACCAGUAGAUACAACCGUAUACUGUGAAGAGAACGUCUUGGAGACAGGCGUAGCUACAGCACUCUGGGAGACUGUGGCAACAUGAUUGCAAGUUUGAGCCCAGUCCGGACAAUUUAACGGGACUCUGAGUCAGAAAAAUUUUUAAAGGGCUGAGGAUGUACUCACUGUGAAAGCCCUGGGAUCUAUCCCCCGUAAUACAAAAAAAAAAGCUCUUGAGGAGUCCCUUAGUUUGUGAGUGUGUAGAGAUUCUGAGCCCAAAAUCUUUGCAGUCACUGGUCAGUUAGGUGUUGGACAGCGGCUUGCCUAAGUCCAUCCCAGCCCUUCAUAUGCACCUUGCUGCAAGUGUUGCCUGUCACUCUGACCAAAAUGAGCCCCAUAAGGAAGAACAGGAAUUGUGUCUUCUAACUGCACAGACCACUACAAUAACACCUGCUGAGCACCUCCAGGUGGCCUGCACUCUGCUAAAACCUUCACUUGGUAUCCUCAUACCAACCAGAGUUGAGAAUAAGGUUUCUGUUGUCGCGAUUCUACAGGAUUUCAAGAGUUCCAUCCCCUGCCUUGACUCUUCAACCUCUCAAGACUUUAUUUGCAACCCUCAGGGCAUCAUGGCAAAUUCUUUGAAAGGCGCAUUAUGAGGGGGUGUUUAAUGCCUCUUGAAUACUUAAAGAAUAUUUCUAUUGAUAAUUAUUUUAUGAAUUUUAUUAAGCAAUGUACUUAAUAGGAAAUUAAAAUAUCAAUAAAAUAAAAUAUUAAAUGUUAAUG
rnacentral:lncRNA from 1 species